GUAGGUGAACCUGCGGAAGGAUCAUUAACACGUAUCCAACGUUAAAAGCCCGUGAACCUUUACAUCGCCGCUCCUCAUUGCUAAGUCUCGGAAAAAUCCAAAACAGCAAUCCCUGCUCCGUCGUAGAAAAGGGAAGGAGGAGGGACCUCUGAAUUUGGCCGAGCUCGGUGGGUUUCAGAGCGCUUAGUAAGGUGGCUUGUUUUUCCCCAAGCAGUCAUUGAAGGACAGUGUCAUUGAUUGUCUAAGGAUUUCGCUAAGCCUAGAGGUCGAUCACCGGCCGGUGGAACAUGUCACAGGGCUUCGGCUCCCUCCCCAACCCCACUUUCUAUUGCCGCUCCGCGCUAACACGUCGGGCAUUCAAAAACGUACUAAACAACUGUUAACAAUGGAUAUCUUGGUUCUC
rnacentral:misc_RNA from 1 species